GAUAAUUAUAGUCCAUGACUGAUGACUAAGAGUGUUUGCAUUGCUGGGGUUUGCUUUUCAUAGCACAAAAUAGCUAGCCCUUUUAAGACGAAGGUAAAUAGAUUCUGCCUCCUCAAGCAUUUUGACAAUGGAAAACAUUUUGUUUGUCAGCACAUAUCGUCUAACACCCAUAGACAGAGAAACGAGCGAGAGAAAUCAGCAGAGAUUGUCAUAAUCAUGGGCAUGCCUAUUUUCAUUAAUGUUACUCAAAUGGGGUAAUAUCUUUCAAAAUUAAAGGCAUCAACAUCCGUUUAUAGCUGAAAUGUAAUAAGUUAAAAUACAAUAAAAGGCACCUGCUGAUUGGCAAAAUAAUUUUCAAUUUAGUCUGAUGAGGAACAUUUCCAUUUAAACUGUCAUUAAGUGGAGCAGCAUGAUUACAAAACAACUAUGCCCAUGGCACAGAACACAUUUCAAUGAAACAGGACCACAUUUGGUUGAAAGAAAUCCAAAAUGAAGGUAUACAUAUCAAUAGAGAACGUACUAAUUUCUCAUUUUGUUUCAUUGAAAUCAUUGGAGAACUGUAUUCCACUGAGAUCAUGUUCCCAUCAAUAAAGCAUCCCUUCUUUAAUGUCCUUAGGACUUCUGCUUUUGAUGCUGAAAUUUUUCAAUGCCCUCUAGGUAACCAAGAAUGGAAGAGAUUCAUGAGUGCACUUCAGAAGGGUGUUGGCCCCAUUAUCAAUGCAGCAUCAUCUUGGGUUCCAAGUGAGCGGUGUCUGGCACUCUGAAGCGAUUUCUGGAUAUUUAAAGCCCCUUUCAGUCAAUCAAUUAAUGACAGUGAGGCUGAGCAAACAACAAAACAGGACCUUGUAAUUCAUUGCAGCCUCCACUUCUACACUUGGAAAAUCAAUUAUAUCAACUUGAUAUAUUGUGAAUGCACUGUUCUUCUAGAUACAUUUGAAACAUCUUGGUGUAGUAUGAUUAAUGUCAAGUAUUAAAUUAAAUUAAAUUAAAUUAAAUUAAAUUAAAUUAAAUUAAAUUAAAUUAAAUUAAAUUAAAUUAAAUUAAAUUAAAUUAAAUUAAAUUAAAUUAGA
ensembl:lncRNA